UGGGGAAUAUUGCACAAUGGGCGAAAGCCUGAUGCAGCAACGCCGCGUGAGUGAUGAAGGCCUUCGGGUUGUAAAGCUCUGUCUUUUGGGACGAUAAUGACGGUACCAAAGGAGGAAGCCACGGCUAACUACGUGCCAGCAGCCGCGGUAAUACGUAGGUGGCAAGCGUUGUCCGGAUUUACUGGGCGUAAAGGAUGCGUAGGCGGAUUUUUAAGUGAGAUGUGAAAACCCUAAGCUUAACUUGGGGACUGCAUUUCAUACUGGAAAUCUAGAGUGCGGGAGAGGAGAAUGGAAUUCCUAGUGUAGCGGUGAAAUGCGUAGAGAUUAGGAAGAACACCAGUGGCGAAGGCGAUUCUCUGGACCGUAACUGACGCUGAGGCAUGAAAGCGUGGGUAGCAAACAGGAUUAGAUACCCUGGUAGUCCACGCCGUAAACGAUGAGUACUAGGUGUAGGAGGUAUCGACCCCUUCUGUGCCGCAGUUAACACAAUAAGUACUCCGCCUGGGAAGUACGAUCGCAA
rnacentral:rRNA from 1 species